rnacentral:lncRNA from 1 species
UAUUAUUUCCAAGUUAGAAGGUCCGAAAGAGUCAUAGGUGCGGAUUAUGCAUUAGAAAGCAUCAAUAACAUAAAGGAAACAAUACCAAAACUUUGGGAAGUUGACAAGGUGAUUGAAGUUAACUACUCUGGUGUUGCUGCGGAGAUCUGUUAUAUCUUAGAAUAUCUCUAAUCUUUAUCUCUAAUCUCUAAUCUCUAUCUCUAAUAUAUUAAAAGUGUGAAGGGCUUUAGAAAUAUUGUUUGAAUUUUUUGUUCGUCAUUAAAAGUCCAAGCAAUAAAUAAAAUCAUAUUCAUUAAUACAUAUGAGUCUUAAAAUAUAUGU